rnacentral:tRNA from 1 species
UGGCCCUAUAGCUCAAUUGGUUAGAGCACGCGACUCAUAAUCGCUAGGUUGCAGGUUCGAGUCCUGCUGGGGUCACCAA